rnacentral:lncRNA from 10 species
GGUGACAUGACGCCUGUCCCCAUUGCUCCUCUCAGGAUCCACAGAAAUUGGUGAACCCUGCUGUAGUACGUAGGUGAGCUGAAGUGGAGAAACCAUAUGCAGGGAAGGAUCCAGGUUGUUCCAGGGCAUAGAUUCCAACUCUGGAGCAUGGAUGUGGGCAGCUGGGCAAGUUGCAUCAGCCUGGCAGCAGGUAAGCCUGGAGCAGCUCCUUUGAAUAAAGGUUUCCAGCUGACUGCACAUCUAAGUGGCAGGGUCAGGAAUGGCCUUAGGUGCUGGGAGGCAAAGAUGUAUCCACAAUCUGAGAAGAGCCUUUACUCCAUGGAUGUAAAAAGAAGAGGG